rnacentral:rRNA from 1 species
CCAAUAGCGUAUAUUAAAGUUGCUGCAGUUAAAAAGCUCGUAGUUGAAUUUCGGGACCAUCAUGUCGGUCGUGCCUCGGUACGUACUGGCAUUGUUGGUUUCUCCCUUCUGACGAACCAUGAUGUCAUUUAUUUGGUGUUUUGGGGAAUCAGGACUGUUACUUUGAAAAAAUUAGAGUGUUUAAAGCAGGCUCACGCUUGAAUACAUUAGCAUGGAAUAAUGAAAUAGGACGUUUGAUUCUAUUUUGUUGGUUUCUAGGAUCGACGUAAUGAUUAAUAGGGAUAGUUGGGGGCAUUAGUAUUCAAUUGUCAGAGGUGAAAUUCUUGGAUUUAUUGAAGACUAACUACUGCGAAAGCAUUUGCCAAGGAUGUUUUCAUUAAUCAAGAACGAAAGUUAGGGGAUCGAAGACGAUCAGAUACCGUGGUAGUCUUAACCAUAAACUAUGCCGACUAGGGAUCGGAUGAUGUUAAUUUUUUAAUGACUCAUUCGGCGCCUUACG